rnacentral:tRNA from 1 species
GGAAUGUAGCUCGGUUGGUAGAGUGCUUGCCUGGCGUGCACAAGGCCCCGGGUUCAAUCCUCAGCACCA